GAUGGACCCGCGGUGCAUUAGCUAGUUGGUGAGGUAACGGCUCACCAAGGCAACGAUGCAUAGCCGACCUGAGAGGGUGAUCGGCCACACUGGGACUGAGACACGGCCCAGACUCCUACGGGAGGCAGCAGUAGGGAAUCUUCGGCAAUGGACGAAAGUCUGACCGAGCAACGCCGCGUGAGUGAAGAAGGUUUUCGGAUCGUAAAACUCUGUUGUUAGAGAAGAACAAGGAUGAGAGUAGAACGUUCAUCCCUUGACGGUAUCUAACCAGAAAGCCACGGCUAACUACGUGCCAGCAGCCGCGGUAAUACGUAGGUGGCAAGCGUUGUCCGGAUUUAUUGGGCGUAAAGCGAGCGCAGGCGGUUUCUUAAGUCUGAUGUGAAAGCCCCCGGCUCAACCGGGGAGGGUCAUUGGAAACUGGGAGACUUGAGUGCAGAAGAGGAGAGUGGAAUUCCAUGUGUAGCGGUGAAAUGCGUAGAUAUAUGGAGGAACACCAGUGGCGAAGGCGGCUCUCUGGUCUGUAACUGACGCUGAGGCUCGAAAGCGUGGGGAGCGAACAGGAUUAGAUACCCUGGUAGUCCACGCC
rnacentral:rRNA from 1 species